AACGCGCACGUGGAGAAAACAACAUAAACAAAGAGCAACGAUCAACAACAAUCAUCAACAAGCAACCAGAACAAGAACACGGUUAAGCGGUUAGAUUCGCCAUCGCGGUGAAUAAAAAGUGCCUGCUAUCAUUGGUAUACCGGAACCGAAGCCGAUCAAGGACGAUAUCCCGGAUUUGCUCAGUGAAAAGCUCCCAGACAACUGAUUGUGGGUAACACGUAGCAGCAUCGACCGAGCCAGCACCGACAAGAUUCAACCUGUGCGGAAGCAACGGUAAAGCAGUGGCCCUUAUUCUGCGCCGCGAGUGACGUGACAGUUGGCGAGUCACCCCACCGUCACUCGACUCUUGUCACCUUAUUCCGACAGUCGGUUGAGGUGAGGUGACAGCAAGGUGAGAGCAAGUGGCAGAUACUCAUUCCGAGCUGAGUGACUGGAUGAACCCAUCUAGAAAAAUGGAGAAAUUUGCUCUGAUCGUGUUGUGCCGGUGUUUACGAUUCGGGUUUUGAAAAUUGAAUUUAAAAUAAACGAGUGAAAAUUGUGCCCCGUCGUGGACAAUUAUCGGAUUGUACGGUGUUAGCAAGCUGGUCAAUUGGAAAAAAGGACGAAUUUGGCUACCAAAGAGGAAAUUUCAGCCCAGCCCGGAUUUCAGAUACAGCAUCAAACUGGAGCAACAAAAACUCGAACAUGCCAGGGGCGACUGCUGUUUUAAAAAACCGCGGUGCGCAAAAAGGCUUCCGAGUAUCUGCGACAACCUUAGCUGCUAUUUCAGGUUUAGGUGUUGCGGCCAGCUUGGGGCGAAAAUCAGCGAGGACAAGGGCUGAUGGAAUAAAUUGGCGUGGUCCUAGAGUCGGUGGUGUCGAUUAUCGUUUCCAAUCCGCUGGAACGGGGCGAAGCAAUGCGACCAGGUAAAGGAAGUCUUCCGCGGAGUCGAUCAGCUAAAUGCUAAUGUUCGCUACGACGAAAACCUCGACAAAGCGCGGCACCUGGGUGUGAAUAUCUUCAUCGCAGUAUUUAUCAUACCCCUCGUCCGUCAACAAUCGAGCUUCGAGCGAAAAGGGAAAACGCAAAUUUCAACCAUUUCUGUAAAGCUUGCUGCACUUCCGCCAAAGAGAACAUAAAAGGAAGACUCUGACAGGCGCAUGUUCUCUAUUCUGAUUGGCCAGCGAGACACAGCGCAUCAGAUUUGUUUACAUCGUGUUAUUUUGCAUGGAGAAGAAAAGUUUAUAAUUUUAAGUAAUAAAGUGAAUUAUUAAGAUUAAAACAAAUAAAGUGAAUAUUUGAUAAGUUUGA